rnacentral:rRNA from 1 species
UACGUAGGGGGCUAGCGUUGUCCGGAAUCAUUGGGCGUAAAGAGCGUGUAGGCGGUCCGGUAAGUCCGCUGUGAAAGUCGGGGGCUCAACCCUCGAAUGCCGGUGGAUACUGUCGGGCUAGAGUGCGGAAGAGGCGAGUGGAAUUCCUGGUGUAGCGGUGAAAUGCGCAGAUAUCAGGAGGAACACCAAUUGCGAAGGCAGCUCGCUGGGACGUAACUGACGCUGAGACGCGAAAGCGUGGGGAGCAAACGGG